rnacentral:rRNA from 1 species
CCACCUGAUUCCAUCCCGAACUCAGAAGUGAA